rnacentral:ncRNA from 1 species
GAUUCAUGUGGAGCAUGUGACUGAGACUUCACAUCGAUUGUAAUGCAUUUGAAGGAAAGUCUUUUCUUAAUUUUGUUCUCAUUCAGAUUGGUCUUAUUUAUAUUAUUAAGGGAGAAGCAGCCCGAAUGUUGCACCCUAGAUGGCGAAAGUUCAGUAGUUGAAAGCACCACUAGCUUAGGCUCUGACUCGAGUAACAUGAAGUACGUGGAAUCCCGUGUGAAUCAGCAAGGACCACCUUGCAAGUCUAAAUACUCCUGGAUGACCGAUAAUGAAGUAGUACCGUGAGGGUAAAGAACCCCCCGGAGUGAAAUAGAACAUGAAA